rnacentral:rRNA from 1 species
CCUACGGGUGGCAGCAGUCGAGAAUCAUUCACAAUGGGGGAAACCCUGAUGGUGCGACGCCGCGUGGGGGAAUGAAGGUCUUCGGAUUGUAAACCCCUGUCAUGUGGGAGCAAAUUAAAAAGAUAGUACCACAAGAGGAAGAGACGGCUAACUCUGUGCCAGCAGCCGCGGUAAUACAGAGGUCUCAAGCGUUGUUCGGAAUCACUGGGCGUAAAGCGUGCGUAGGCUGUUUCGUAAGUCGUGUGUGAAAGGCGCGGGCUCAACCCGCGGACGGCACAUGAUACUGGGAGACUAGAGGAAUGGAGGGGGAACCGGAAAUCUCGGUGUAGCAAUGAAAUGCGUAGGUAUCG